CCCUUUUGCAAAAUUAAUUAAUUUUUUUUAAAGUGACUGGAACUCACUUCCAGGCUCAGGGCGGGGCGUGGGGGGCGGUCCCAGAUACAACCAGGAAGACUGGCUGGUCCAACACACAAGGGAACCCAAUGGAUUCCCAUCCGGAUCUGCACUGUGUGUCCCUUAUCCGUCGGUCUCUGCAGCUCUGUCCAAGGCGGCUGGCAGCUGUUCUCCUGCUCAGCCAGGCUCGGCUGUAACACUUGCUCCGUCCCCGGCCCCCGCUCCGGCGCCCCUCUGCUCAGCUCGCGCAUCAUCUGCUCCGCUGCCCAGCUCCUGCCGCCUUCGCGCCCGCGCCCGCGCCCCCCGGGGCGGCGGAAAGCUGGCAUCCGUUGUUACCAUAACAAACUCAAUUGUUCUCAGCAGGGCCCCGGCAAAUAAAGUCAUUCAUUACGGGGCUUCUCCCGGCCACCGUGGGCUGCGCGGCAAUCAGCGGGCCGCGGGCUGCCCCCUCGCGGGCCGAGACACGCGCCAGCGCCGUUACCUGCCGGGGCCAGCCCGCCGCGCAGCGGCCGCCACGCUGCGCCCCGAGGCCCAGUAGCAGCGGCGCCGGCGGGAGCAGCGGCCGACCGCCGAUUAGUUUUAUCUCCGAACGUCAAUUGACUUAUACUGAUUGGCUUCCUGCCGCCAAAUGUCAAUUAAAUUGCAAAUGUUCAGCGGAGGCCCAGUGUGGGCCGCGAUGGCGGGCGGCCCCUUCCCGGGGGCGCCCGGUGCUGCCGCGGUGGGUUUGAUUUCUCCUUCCACACCGGGAGCCGCAAGGCCCAGCCUUCCCGGGCCAGCAGCCCUCAGGCCCAUCCUGGGAAUUGGAGGGAGGCCCAAGGAAGCCGAACAGGCCUGCCCUGGAGUAACUCCUGCUUCCAGGAGGAGGGACCUUCGCUAGGCUCUCUCUACGUAGGCCUGGAAUUAGUGAUCCGUCGGCCUCCGCCCUCUCCUACUAGAAUUGUAGGCAAAGCCCACCACGCUUGAGUCCUGAAAAGUCCUCUCCUCUGCCCUCUCCAAGUGGCUAACUGGAGCACAAGGGAGGGAAAUUGUCCCAGAGUUCCCAAAAGACAAGUGACCGUUGGACCUGCAUUCCGUUUGCUCCCAGUGGCAAAACUCAUCCUUGGGCAAAGUCCAAAGGAGAAACACAGGGCGAACUUUAAUGAUCUCUACCUGCAUAGAGCACCAUUAUUGCCAGAGCACUUUCCUGUGUUUUGGGGCUCACUAAACUUGCCAGGGCUUCGAAGGAAUCAUUCACUCUCUCGUGGUAAGAAAACAGAGCACUUGUGGUAGUAACAUGCCUAAAUCUCAGCACUUGAGAGGUCUAGGCGGGAGGAUUGGGAGUUCAAGGCCAACUUAGGCUCCAUGACAAGACUGUCUCAAAAAGCAGAGGGAAGGGGAAGAAGCUGUCGGGGUGAGUCUGUGGGUAAAACUGCUUGAUCUUAAAGUACAUGGUGGUUCUGAAUUUGAAUCCCUUGCAAAACGUGGAAUAUGGCUGUGUAUGUCUGUAACAUUAGGUGGCAAAGACAUGCAGAUCAGGGAGCUCAGUGGCUACACGUCUCAGCAAAAUGGCGAGCUUCCAGUCUGGUGAAAGACCAGGCUCAAGACAAUAACAUGAGAAGCAAUAGAGGAAGAUGUCUCACAUCCUUCUACGGCCUCCGAAGGAGUCCUGCACACUCACAUACAUGUGACACACACACACACACACACACACACACACACACACACACACACCCCUGUCUGCCUCCCUAAGGUUGUCUCUUGAGAGAGCGCUACGAGGGCUCUUAACUGAUCAAAUGUCCAGCAUUUAAAAGAUACAAACCUGACCGGUCGUCCUUUGCAGAGGAGAGAUGUUCAGUGAACAAAAGUGCCAUUCAGAAGAGCUGGAUAGAGUCUGUGUCUCAAAGAAAAGGGAAAUGAAGAGAGAAGAUGGAGAAGGAGGGGGCACGGAAGAGAGAGAACAGGGGACCUGGAGCUACAAGACUUGCCAGGCUUCCUGCAUCCAAAUGUGGGCCCAGAUGGGGCAGGACCACAACUGAUCAGUGCUGAAACCAAACAAGGAAACUGGGUUCCUCCACCUGUGUGUGAGCUCACGGCCUACAAAGGCCCCCUCAGGCACAGCUGGAUCAGUUGAGUUUCUAAGGCAUGGGGCUGAACUGCUGCCUGUCUAGAUUCUGGGUGGGGGUUGGAGGUGUGGCUCAGUGGGCAGAGUGCUUGUCUAGCAUGUACAGAGCACGGGAAAGACCCUGAUACAAUGUAUGAACUGGGUGUGUGACAGCCCUGAAAUCCAGAUAAACCUGGUGGGAAAGUCAGAAGUUCAAGAUCACCCUGGGCUACGAAGCAAGACCAAGGACGAGCAUGCACGACAUCAGACCCUGUCUCGAUCAGUCAAUAAAUUCUCAUUGGUUCUUCCAUCCUUUUCUCCUGAAGCUACCCAGAAUAACCUUAUGAAGCUGAUAUACCAACCACUUUUUUUUUUUUGGUUCUUUUUUUCGGAGCUGGGGACCGAACCCAGGGCCUUGCGCUUCCUAGGUAAGCGCUCUACCACUGAGCUAAAUCCCCAGCCCCAUACCAACCACUUUUAAACAAAAGAGAAAGCCAGGCAUGGCUGCUUAUGCCUGCAGUCCUAGCUCUUGAGGCUGGAGGAUCACUGUUAGAAGGAGGCUAGCACGGCUAUAUACUGAGACCUUGAGGGAAAAACGACAGAGAUGUGGGUAAAAGAACAGGAGAUAUAGAAAUGCCUCCUCAGGGUUUUGUUGAGGACUCUUAGAUUCAGAGUAAAACAUCUCUGCUCUGGUAUUAGAAAAAUAACACAAAUAAUUUCCUCUGGCCAGUCCAAAUCAAAUAUUAUAGGUAACGUUUUUAGUUACCAAGAAAGACGUGAAAAGCCCCCUUUUAGAAGAUAAAGAAACCAGGGAUCAAGGAAGACCUUCAGCUGUGAAAGCACACACAGCCAGUGGCUUAAAGGCUGGGCAGGGACCCCAUCCAUCCAUGAUGUCACCCUUGUAAAUGACCAGCCAGAGCUGAAGCAACUAACUCGAGUGUGGCAGAAAAGUGUGCAGAGCAUGGAGUUGCUGGAGACGUUCAGGAAUGGAGACCUCAGGGGAGAAAUGCGCCCGAGCUGUGUCCAUCCGAGUCCAGCCUCAGAGCAGGACUGAAGGUGCAAAAGUGGCCUUGAAGGCCCAUGCCAGAGAGAGCUAAAGAUAUGCCAUGGGGACACUGGCACUCUCUUACUGUGACACUGAGAGGCAGACCAGAGUGGCAGGUAAGGGUACCCUGGAGCCAGCCCUGAUGUUAGACUGCCAAAGUCCAGGCUGAGCUGUGUGACCUUGGACAACUUCUUCGAACUCUCUGACUCUGUAAAAACAGAGGGUGACAGGAGUGCCAGCUUGGUAAACUGGUUCUAUUAACUGCUUUCGUCAUUUAAGUGCAUGUCAAUCAAAACUUGUCAGUAUGGUUCCUUCUUGAAGUUCCUGGUCAGGGCCUCAACCCACUCACACUUGGGGCACAGGAUCAGGCAUCAGGCAAGAGGAGAAUCUUAGGCACACAUGUGUGCACAUGUGCCUUAGGACAGAGGGUGCUCCUUACCCUGCAGAAUGGUCUUCACAUCUCCCUUCUGUGGAGCUUGGCAGCCAUGCGGGAGGCUUUGGGUUGGGCAGGAGUGAGGAGUCUAAUGGGCAAGGCCCUCUGGGUUCCACUCCACAGCCUGCCUUUACUAGCCAGCCAAACCCAUGCAUUCUCAGGCAUACAGGACAUAUAUACUACCACGAACCAAGCCCUGAGCUGGCACUCAGGGGACAUGGUGACUGCUGCCAAUAUGCUACCUUGCCUGCAUGGAGCUCACAGUCUUUGGGGAUUGAGGGGGGCAGACAAGCGACAUGUGUUUCAUUCUUAUUAACAGGGAUAGAAGGGAUAGACAGGCAGGGGAUCCUUCUUUGCAGAAGUCACAGUGAAGCUGGACCCUGAGUUCUUGGAAUGUCCCCUUGGACUGUGGUGGAGCAGGGAAAGGGACACAACACCACAAUGAAAGGCUUCAGGAGUUUCCUCAGCUCCUCACACACUUCCGUCCAUCCCUGUGCUCAGCUGCAGGCAUGACUGCUACCUUUGUUUCCCUGUGGGGAAACUGAGGCUCUUACAUGUGACUCCCAAAGUCAUGGUGAUGGUGGUGGGUGGAGUCUGCGGUAGACCCCAUGUCGUCUGACUAUGACGUCAGCAGUAAAAGGGCAGAUGGUGCUGAGAAACGGCUGAAGAAGCCUCCAGUUGACAGAACUGGGCAUGAAAAGACAGUGGUGGGCUCAGAGCUUCACGGGGCAGCUAGCUUUAAAAAGUCCCGAGGGCUUCUGAGGGUGCUGUGUAGAUUUGAAGUGUUCCAACCCUGCCGUGAGCCACAGAUCAGAACAGUAUUGCAGAGGAAACACUAGGCACGCUGUGCGACCCUUUGGAGAAAUCAAGAGGCAGAGGAGAGCAGAGAAGAGGCAGUAGCAAUAGUCCAAAAGGAAAGAAGGAACGGUUUGGGCGAGGGCAGUAGCAGUGGAGGUGGAGAGAAACAAGGAGGUUGAAGAAAUACUUAAGACAGAGACAUAGUGUCUUAAAAAGAAGACAAAAACCAAAAGCCCUUUUCUGUGUUCACAAGCAGAGAUACAAACCUAAGGAGAGAGGGCAGCUAACAGUCCCCAGGGACAGACGGGUGGACAGACAGAUGGUCAAGGAUACACACACACACACACACACACACACACACACACACACACACACACCAAAGCAUUUUCCAAUCAGGCAUUUUAUUUAAUACCAGGAAAAAUUUUGCGGAAAUGGCUUCUGUGAGAAGUGACCUGCCCAUGGUCACACGGCUAACAGAAAGUGCCAGAAAGAACUCCGGCACCAGUGUCACCUGCAACACACUGCCGAACGUGGGACCCUUAAGAUCCAAUUGUCUGUUUUAGCAUGAGGGAAACGUGACUUGCCCAAGGUCACACAUCAAGUAAAGGCUCAGGGGAGACCCAAGAAUUCCUAGAAAGGUUUGUGUCAAUGUAUCUGGGUCCCAAGGUAAGAAAAGGGUGGGAUUAAUCCCAACAAUAAUGAUCAGCUUCCCUCUGGCAGAGAAGUGGGAAUCAGAUAAAUGGCCAGCCUACCCAGGCAUGCCACUCCAGCCCGGGAACAAGCAUAACAAUUCACAAAUGACCCAUACCCACUGCCCUGGCACCCUAGACAGCAACUAAGCUGUCCUGGGUCAAUGGUGCCACCUGGUGGUUGGUGUUAGGAAGUUCUAACCCCUCCUCACUUUCAAUCCUUUCCCAAGGGGCCGGCCACCUGUUGGCUGGGAGCUCAGUUGAUCUCACUAUAAGCAGUGUCUCUCACACCACCAUCACUUUUCUAAGUUCUUUUAAUGCAUCUUCUUUCCCUGGCACACCUCAGCCUGUCCCAGGACAUGCCCUUUCUCUCCAGCAAAUGAUACGUCCACCAGUGAAAGUAAAAACCGGAGAGUCAAAGUGAAACGAUACACACGCACAAGCACAUUGUGCACACACGCAUGUGUGUGAGUCACUCUCCCCUGGUGCUCUAGAAACACCUGGAAGCCCCAGUGAAAUCAGAACAAAACACAUUCAGGUCUGCUUUUUGCCUAGUAUCAGGCGUCAAGAUGAACACUAGAAGCACUCUCUUAUUUUCUCACAUUUCGUUCCCAGUCAGUAUCAUGGAAGGAUUUUCUUUCACCAAAAAUAUGCCUAGCACAGGGCCACUAAGCCAGGGCAGAACUUAACUCUGUGAGGUGAGGAAGGACUGAAAGAAGCAAGCUGGAGGGAAGUCAGACCUCAAACCCUACAGACACGCUGCUGGACAUAGGAAGAGCUCAGUGUUCAUGCCUCUCUGUGGAAGCAAAAGCCUGGGGGAAGAGCCAGGAACUACACAUCCACUGUGUGAGAGGAUCGCCAAAGCCUGGUGUGUCCAGACACAGCCUCCCAGUUAAGGACAAGAGACACGGGGGGCUGGGGGGGAGGACCGCUCUUUUAACUAAAACCACACAUGUGUUCCCCCUGGCUUGUGAGAGGUGAAUGCAUAAACCUCCCCGGUGUAGACCAGAGAGCCAGGGGGUUCCCAAGACCUUCAGGGGAUCUGUGAGGUUGGAACUGUGUUCCCAUAAUGCCACAGUGUCGUUUGUCUGCACUCAAGCACACAGUAGAGCUUUCCAGAGCCUGGGACACAUAUGGCAACAUGACAGUGAGUACAGAGGCAUCUAUGUGACUCUAGCUGUCUUCUGUCAAACCAGACACUAAAGAAACUGGCGCAGGUGUAAGGCAGUGCCACUCCCUCUAGACUCUGUUUAGAAGACAGCCCUUAUCUCAAAAUAAUAUAUGUUGUUUGUUAUUUUAAUAAACCAAUAAAGAAUUUAAUUUUACCCACUUUAA